rnacentral:rRNA from 14 species
AACUUUCAGCGACGGAUGUCUUGGCUCCCACAUCGAUGAAGAACGCAGCGAAAUGCGAUACGUAAU